rnacentral:siRNA from 1 species
CUAGCCGCACGGUCAUGGUUC